rnacentral:piRNA from 1 species
UCUUAACUAAAUGUACCUUUCCUUUCCCCU